rnacentral:rRNA from 1 species
AACUAACGCUGGCGGCGUGCCUAACACAUGCAAGUCGAACGAGAAAGUUGGCUUCGGCCGAUGAGUAAAGUGGCGCACGGGUGAGUAACGCGUGGAUAAUCUGCCCUUUAGUUUGGAAUAACGUACCGAAAGGUGCGCUAAUACCGGAUAAUACUGAAUGACUACUGUCGUUUAGUCAAAGAAGGCUUCUGUUUACAUGCUUUUGCUGAAGGAUGAGUCCGCGUACCAUUAGCUAGUUAGUAGGGUAAUGGCAUACCAAGGCGACGAUGGUUAGCUGGUCUGAUAGGAUGAUCAGCCACACUGGAACUGAGACACGGUCCAGACUCCUACGGGAGGCAGCAGUGAGGAAUAUUGCGCAAUGGGGGCAACCCUGACGCAGCAACGCCGCGUGAGUGAGGAAGGUUUUCGGACCGUAAAGCUCUGUCGAGCGGGAAGAAAUGCAUGGUGGCUAAUAUCCAUCAUGCUUGACGGUACCGCUAAAGGAAGCACCGGCUAACUCCGUGCCAGCCGCCGCAGUAA